GGCGACAUAGCCAAGCGGUAAGGCAAGGGUCUGCAACACCCGUAUCACCAGUUCGAUUCUGGUUGUCGCCUCUA
rnacentral:tRNA from 1 species